ACACCUCAACUCUCAUGGUUUGCCAUGAUGAGCUUGGACUUUGGGGGUCUUGCUGACCUAUGGUCGGCUCCUCUCAAAUGGAUCAGCUUGCCAGUGUUUGGUGGCAUCACAGGUGUGAUAACUAUCUACGCUUGUGGUUCUCCACCAGGUAACCUUCAGCGAUGGAGGUUCGCUGGGGCUCACAAAUGUCUCUCCUCAGUGGGGACGGCUUUUUAAAC
rnacentral:misc_RNA from 1 species